rnacentral:rRNA from 1 species
UACGAAGGGGGCUAGCGUUGCUCGGAAUCACUGGGCGUAAAGGGUGCGUAGGCGGGUCUUUAAGUCAGGGGUGAAAUCCUGGAGCUCAACUCCAGAACCGCCUUUGAUACUGAAGAUCUUGAGUUCGGGAGAGGUGAGUGGAACUGCGAGUGUAGAGGUGAAAUUCGUAGAUAUUCGCAAGAACACCAGUGGCGAAGGCGGCUCACUGGCCCGAUACUGACGCUGAUGCACGAAAGCGUGGGGAGCAAACAGG